CGCCCUGCGGGUGAAAGCCCGACGCCGAAUGGUGGAGCGAGGGGUCAGCAGAGGCCGUAGUAGUCGGCGGCCGCCCGCCAAGGGCGCAAACCCCGACGAAGGGC
rfam:Variovorax paradoxus strain TBEA6 VPARA_contig000020, whole genome shotgun sequence.